rnacentral:rRNA from 1 species
GACGAAUGCUGGCGGCGUGCUUAACACAUGCAAGUCGAGCGGUAAGGCCCUUCGGGGUACACGAGCGGCGAACGGGUGAGUAACACGUGAGCAACCUGCCCCUGACUCUGGGAUAAGCGGUGGAAACGCCGUCUAAUACCGGAUACGACCCGCCACCUCAUGGUGGAGGGUGGAAAGUUUUUCGGUCAGGGAUGGGCUCGCGGCCUAUCAGCUUGUUGGUGGGGUAACGGCCUACCAAGGCGAUUACGGGUAGCCGGCCUGAGAGGGCGACCGGCCACACUGGGACUGAGACACGGCCCAGACUCCUGCGGGAGGCAGCAGUGGGGAAUAUUGCGCAAUGGGCGAAAGCCUGACGCAGCGACGCCGCGUGGGGGAUGACGGCCUUCGGGUUGUAAACCUCUUUUACCACCAACGCAGGCUUCCAGUUCUCUGGAGGUUGACGGUAGGUGGGGAAUAAGGACCGGCUAACUACGUGCCAGCAGCCGCGGUAAUACGUAGGGUCCGAGCGUUGUCCGGAAUUAUUGGGCGUAAAGAGCUCGUAGGCGGCGUGUCGCGUCUGCUGUGAAAGACCGGGGCUUAACUCCGGUUCUGCAGUGGAUACGGGCAUGCUAGAGGUAGGUAGGGGAGACUGGAAUUCCUGGUGUAGCGGUGAAAUGCGCAGAUAUCAGGAGGAACACCGGUGGCGAAGGCGGGUCUCUGGGCCUUACCUGACGCUGAGGAGCGAAAGCAUGGGGAGCGAACAGGAUUAGAUACCCUGGUAGUCCAUGCCGUAAACGUUGGGCGCUAGGUGUGGGGACUUUCCACGGUUUCCGCGCCGUAGCUAACGCAUUAAGCGCCCCGCCUGGGGAGUACGGCCGCAAGGUUAAACUCAAAGGAAUUGACGGGGGCCG